AAUUGAUGAUGAGAAUAUUGACUUAUUAGGAUAUUGAAACACCCACAUGCUUCAUGGAACAAUUCACCAUUUUAUUGGGUGAAAAAGGGGAUUUUGUCCCUUAAUUU